GCCAGCAGCCAUAUCACCCUGCAGCUCACAACUGACAACCCACGGAAACUAGGCAGGUGUGAGCCUGGCCAGUACCUGGAUGGGAGACCUCCUGGGAAAAACUAAGGUUGCUACUAGAA
rnacentral:rRNA from 1 species